GCUGGGCAUGGUGGUGCAUGCCUGUAAUCCCAGCAGCUUGGGAGGCUGAGGCAAACUGAGGCACUAAGUAACUCAGUGAGACCCUGUCUCUA
rnacentral:sRNA from 1 species